GAUGAAGAACGUAGUGAAAUGUGAUAAGUAAUGUGAAUUGCAGAAUUCAGUGAAUCAUCGAAUCUUUGAACGCACAUUGCGCCCGCCAGUAUUCUGGCGGGCAUGCCUGUCUGAGCGUCAUUUCAACCCUCAUGCCCCUAGGGCGUGGUGUUGGGGAUCGGCCAAAGCCCGCGAGGGACGGCCGGCCCCUAAAUCUAGUGGCGGACCCGUCGUGGCCUCCUCUGCGAAGUAGUGAUAUUCCGCAUCGGAGAGCGACGAGCCCCUGCCGUUAAACCCCCAACUUUCCAAGGUUGACCUCAGAUCAGGUAGGAAUACCCGCUGAACUUAAGCAUAUCAAUAAGCGGAGGA
rnacentral:misc_RNA from 1 species